rnacentral:rRNA from 1 species
AGUGAACGCUGGCGGUAGGCCUAACACAUGCAAGUCGAACGGCAGCACAGUAAGAGCUUGCGCUUACGGGUGGCGAGUGGCGGACGGGUGAGGAAUACAUCGGAAUCUACUUUUUCGUGGGGGAUAACGUAGGUAAACUUACGCUAAUACCGCAUACGACCUACGGGUGAAAGCAGGGGAUCUUCUGACCUUGCGCGAUUGAAUGAGCCGAUGUCGGAUUAGCUAGUUGGCGGGGGUAAGGCCCACCAAGUGGACGAUCCGUAGCUGGUCUGAGUGGAUGAUCAGCCACACUGGAGCUGAGACACGGACCAGACUCCUAAGAGACGCAGCAGUGGGGAAUAUUGGACAAUGGGCGCAAGCCUGAUCCAGCCAUACCGCGUGGGUGAAGAAGGCCUUCGGGUUGUAAAGCCCUUUUGUUGGGAAAGAAAAGCAGCAGGUUAAUACCCCGCUGUUCUGACGGUACCCAAAGAAUAAGCACCGGCUAACUUCGUG